CCGUAACUAUAACGGUCCUAAGGUAGCGAAAUUCCUUGUCGGGUAAGUUCCGACCUGCACGAAUGGCGUAAUGAUGGCCAGGCUGUCUCCACCCGAGACUCAGUGAAAUUGAACUCGCUGUGAAGAUGCAGUGUACCCGCGGCAAGACGGAAAGACCCCGUGAACCUUUACUAUAGCUUGACACUGAACAUUGAGCCUUGAUGUGUAGGAUAGGUGGGAGGCUUUGAAGUGUGGACGCCAGUCUGCAUGGAGCCGGCCUUGAAAUACCACCCUUUAAUGUUUGAUGUUCUAACGUUGGCCCGUAAUCCGGGUUGCGGACAGUGUCUGGUGGGUAGUUUGACUGGGGCGGUCUCCUCCUAAAGAGUAACGGAGGAGCACGAAGGUUGGCUAAUCCUGGUCGGACAUCAGGAGGUUAGUGCAAUGGCAUAAGCCAGCUUGACUGCGAGCGUGACGGCGCGAGCAGGUGCGAAAGCAGGUCAUAGUGAUCCGGUGGUUCUGAAUGGAAGGGCCAUCGCUCAACGGAUAAAAGGUACUCCGGGGAUAACAGGCUGAUACCGCCCAAGAGUUCAUAUCGACGGCGGUGUUUGGCACCUCGAUGUCGGCUCAUCACAUCCUGGGGCUGAAGUAGGUCCCAAGGGUAUGGCUGUUCGCCAUUUAAAGUGGUACGCGAGCUGGGUUUAGAACGUCGUGAGACAGUUCGGUCCCUAUCUGCCGUGGGCGCUGGAGAACUGAGGGGGGCUGCUCCUAGUACGAGAGGACCGGAGUGGACGCAUCACUGGUGUUCGGGUUGUCAUGCCAAUGGCACUGCCCGGUAGCUAAAUGCGGAAGAGAUAAGUGCUGAAAGCAUCUAAGCACGAAACUUGCCCCGAGAUGAGUUCUCCCUGACCCUUUAAGGGUCCUGAAGGAACGUUGAAGACGACGACGUUGAUAGGCCGGGUGUGUAAGCGCAGCGAUGCGUUGAGCUAACCGGUACUAAUGAACCGUGAGGCUUAACCUU
rnacentral:rRNA from 1 species